rnacentral:misc_RNA from 1 species
GUCACCUCUUGCCCUGGGGUCACCAAUCUCGCGCUUGCUGCUAUCGCCAAGUUCUGCCCGAGCUUGAGGCAGCUUUCCUUCAGGAAGUGUGGACACAUGACGGAUGCCGGUCUCAAGGCUUUCACGGAAUCGGCGAGGUUGUUGGAGAGCUUGCAGCUUGAAGAGUGCAAUGGGGUUACUCUUGUUGGUAUUCUUGAUUUCCUCGUCAACUGCGGUCCG